rnacentral:lncRNA from 1 species
AGGGUCCUGAGGCUUCAGUGUGUUAGUAGAACAGGUUUGUGAACUCAGCCCCAGGACCAGCUGGAUGAGGGUCCUGAGGCUUCAGUGUUUUAGUAGAACAGGUUUGUGAACUCAGCCCCAGGACCAGCUGGAUGAGGGUCCUGAGGCUUCAGUGUGUUAGUAGAACAGGUUAGUGAACUCAGCCCCAGGACCAGCUGGAUGAGGGUCCUGAGGCUUCAGUGUGUUUAGUAGAACAGGUUAGUGAACUCAGCCCCAGGACCAGCUGGAUGAGGGUCCUGAGGUUUCAGUGUGUUAGUAGAACAGGUUUGUGAACUCAGCCCCAGGACCAGCUGGAUGAGGGUCCUGAGGCUUCAGUGUGUUAGUAGAAC